CUGAUCCCUUUCUAAUGAAUAAUUAUUAAGACAUCAACUUAGAUUUUCAGAACACUUUUCUUCAGAAGAAGAAUGACAUCUUACUGAUAGCCAAACUCUGCUACUGAGCUGGGCCUAGUUCAAUAUGAAGGGUUUUUAUUUUACUACUGAAAGUGAAAAAUAGUAGCAGAAUGUGGCCUACAGAAAAGCAAAAAUGUUGCCCUCCUUUGAUCAUCUAUGUUUCUCUUUCACUAGGUUAAUAAGAAAAUCUUACCAUACAAAAAUGAAGAUCCGGUUGGCAACCACUUGAAGAACCUGGACAUUCAUCAGUCUAUAGAUUCCGAUGUGUCCCAGAGUCCUGAGGAAUCUGGUUAAUGUAGCCAUCAAACCACUCUCACUGAUGUGUGAAAAGUCAUGGCAGUCAGAUACGUCCAUGUAACCCAUUGUCUUCUGUCCCUUUGACUCUCAUACAAGUUUUAGUUUGGCAAUGAUGAAGUGGGAUCCUUACAGUUAAUAGAACCAAGGGAGAAGAGAAAAAGGGACAAAACUUAUGUAAAUUGAAAUGCAGAUAAGUACAUCAAAAUACUCUUUCUCCAUUUUUAUUUCCCUUGUAGAUAUAUCUUCUCAAAUGCUCAUGAAUGUUAAUCAAGUUUUAAUGUUUGUUUUACUAGUCAGUGUAAUCACUGAAAUCCUGCUUUGUAGCUGAUGCAUGGUUUUAGCCUUAUUAGAUUUCUUAUCUGGAAAAAAAAAAUACUUAUUACACCUUCUAAUUGAUGAAAAUUAAGAAAACAUUGAAAAAUUUGUUGCAUCUUCGAACAUUUCCUUUUCACAAGUUUCUUCUCUGACUGGGGCCUGAAUAAAAACAGUUCUUCUGCAGAAGAAAA
rnacentral:lncRNA from 1 species